ensembl:lncRNA
UGUCAGUUCAGUGGGAAAACCAUGUCAGGAUCCCAAAUAACUGGAAUGCAGUGUGGUACUGCAUGACAUUAGGGUGGAUGUAAAGAACUGCAGGAGUCCAAGGAUACAGUUUUUUCUGAUUAAGGACAGUAGUGUAUACACACACACCCCAUGUCUUUACAUAGUAAUUUCCCGUUUGGGAACAUUAGAAAUCAUGUGGUCAAGGUUUAUUCCAGUGACUGAAGUCAGGAAGGAAGAAAUUAGCUAAGAGUCACCUAGAAGAGGCAGAGCUGUGUCUGUAAUCCAGGUCUAAUUGGAAACAUGACUCAACUACACAUAUACAUGCACAUUUACACAUGGACAUACACACACACACCAGUUUCCUUUUCACUUCAAGCUUUUUCUGAUCCCCACUUCUUAAAAUCAUGAGUAGCAGCAUGUAUAAGUACCCUUGAAGCCUCUCUUAUAGAGAAUAUUCUAAAGGUACCAUUUAUUUGAGGAUAGAACCAUCUGUUCUAUCCCAAGGAAGUGACAGUGGCAGUUCUGCAUCAAUAAUUAGGAUAAGGGACCAGGACAAAGCGGAAACCUGCUGCAGAGGGCAGGUAAGGUAGGUGACAAACUAGAGAGAUGUGGAUCAAGGACCGGGGAUUUAGCUCAGUGGUUUUUCUGCCUGCUGCAUAAGCACAAGGACCCGAGUUUGAUCCCCAGUACCAAAAAAAAGAAAAAGAAACAGGAGAGAUGUGGAUGAGUGGAGCAUAUUACCCAUGCUUAUCAUCUUCAGGUUGACCUCAAACUUCAAUAGAAAAAGCAAGAAGGUACCUUUUUUUCCAGUGUGUUAACAGGUCCUGAAACUAAUCACUUUGAUGACUUACAGUUGCCUUUCACUUACUAUUCAUUUACUGACAGCUGACCACUGUGCUAAACAGGCUCUCACUAGCCUCCUCAGAUAUACUGCCUCUCACCUAGCCUCAAAAUGACUCUAUAAGAAGGAUAUUAACCUCAUUUCCCUACUAUGGAAAUUGAGAUUCGGAGAGACUAAGUAUCUUGUAUAGCUGGGAUCCAAAUCAAGUCUUUGUGAAUCCAAAGCUUAUAUUCUUUUCUAUGCCCUAAGGCACAUUUCAGAACUAAACUUCAUCAUGGAGCCUGUAAUGAUCUAUAUUUCCAACCAGUACCUAGCCUAAGGCCAGGCACAUAGUGGGCUCAAAGUGAACACUUGUUGAAUAAGUGAAUUCCAAAUGGGAUAGUUGACAAAUGAAGACCUGGGUUCAGCAUAAACAGUGUUUUGGGACAGCAGAGGAGGGCACAGCUGGCUGCUUAGAGAAAAUGGAGAAGUCUUUACAGAGGAGGAAGAUAGGGCCUGGGCAAAUAGGUAGUAGUAGAAAAAGACCAACAAUCCAGUAUUCCAAGAGCAAAAGAUACUAGCUGGCAAUUCACAGGACAAGAAAUCCAAAAGACCAUAAACUAUGAUAAGAGGUGCUCAAUAUCACUAAUGAUCAGAAAUAUGUAAGUGGUCUCAUACAUAGUGGAUGGGAAUACAAAUUGUAAAGGUAUUUGAGGAUAAGUAUUUAAUAUUAUCUAGCAAAAUUUUAAGUGAAGGCUGGGGAUGUAGCUCAGUGGCAGAAGCCCUAGGUUUGAUCCCCAGCACCACACAAAAAAGUGAGCUGUGUUCUUAAAUGUGUAUUUGCAAUUGUUGCAAAAUAUUCUGACAGAAAAAUGGAAAAUAAGUAUUCACCAAUAAGAAACAAAACAAACAAGGACAAAUCUGUAAUACUUUUUUUAUUUUUUAUUUUUUUGGUACUGGGGAUCAAACUCAAGACCUUACGCUUGCGAGGCAGGCGCCAGAACCACUGAGCUAAAUCCCUGGCCCUAUACUACUCUUGUUUUUUUUUAGGCUAUGCUUCUUGUAAAGAAAAAAAAAAGGAUGAAAUUGCAUCUUGGAUAGAUCAUGGAAAGAUCCAAGACAAUACAGUUAAAUGAAAAAGAAGGAAAAUUGUUGAAAUAGAUUUUGUACUCUUCUAAAGUCCAUCAAGGACCUAAUGGUGAGAGCAAGUAUUCCUUCAGUUCCCAAGGACUCUGCUGAUUCUGCUCGGCCUUGAGUGUAGCACCAAAUUAUUUUGCUGGAACAGGAAAAGCUGGAAUGUGUUGAGUCCUAAAUAGAGGAGAGAAGGUUUGGUAAGUGCCUGGCUCUCAGCCAGGACAUGCCCUCAUGCCCUCUGGAAAAGAGCUGAAAUGGAUCAGACACAUGACAACAUGGGGAGCAGAAGAGACUUGUGGAGCCUCCGGAAAAAUGAUGAAGCCACAGUAGAUGAACACAACUAGCUUUCAUGACCAGGCUCUUACUCAAUAGUUAACUGGAGGGACAUAGGUUGUCAUAUCUACUGCAUGCAUUUCUCAACCUGUUGACCCCACUCAGGUGUGUAGACCGUGAUGAAGAGGAUCAGGUCAAGCUGAAGAGACCCCAACAGUUCCUGCUUUGUGAAAUGAACAUGCUAAUUUCUGCCCAGCUGCAACCUGGGCCUGGUGUCAGGCUCCCCCAAG